AAAAAAUCCAAGAAGUCAGAGAAAAGAGAAUAGAGACUUCAUAAUUUCCAGCUGAAGGCAUUAAGGAAAAAAGCCAAAGGCACUUAAAUUAUUUCAUCUUAAGCAAUCCACUUUAGCCUGUACUCCAUUUUUAAUUAUUUUCCUUUAUACCUUUGAAAAUUCUGAACAGCAAUGAGCACUGCUGAAUGAAGACAAUUGGAAUGACUUUGUAAUAACCUGAUUUUUUUCUUAAUAGCUACGACUCCUUUGACAUCUGUCAGUCAGCAAGUUAUGAUAAAUACGCAUUUUACUCAAUAAUUUCAUAUUAAAAAUGAAAUAUCAGUAAAAACAACAGCAAAAAGUCAGACUAGUGCAUUCGUUUGCAGGUGGAAGCUGAAUCAUAGAUGUGAUCAAGUUUGUCAUGACUCAGUUAAAAGCUGGAAAGUUACUGUGUGCAAUCAUCACAAUGUAUGGUCUCUGCCACACAAGGACACCAGUUAAAGUUUCAGGCAGACAAGCAAAAAUAUUUGAAGACAUCUAAGAAUUAGAUAGGACUGCUGUGGUCUGACAAAGACCCGAAUGAUCUGCUCCAUUCUGUGCAAGCUGAAGAUGUUAAGUAGUCACAAGGUAGCCCAGAGCUGAGAGAAAUUCUGUAUUUCUGCCCUAUGGGAAACCACAACAUUCAUUUCCCCCUGUAAGAGGACACAAGUUGAUAUUUUACAAGUUUCUGUGCAUACAAGUGUCAAAAGUUUUCCUACUAGAAUUUUUAUUUAUAUGUCUUUUCCACAUUUUUACAAUUAAUUUCAAGCACUAAAUACUUUGUUUUGGAUUGAGACAUCAAGAAAAGGAAACGGUCAAGAAUGGUCCCAUCCUGCUUUGCUUCAGCAAGAUGGUGCAUUUGAAAGACAUCCAAAUCCUUGACACUUCAUGCCUUGGAAGAAACAUUUCUGGUAUCCCCUGUGAACCCUAGACUUGGUGAGAGCACCAACCGGAGAUAAUUUGAUCUUGAAGGAAUAUGACCUUGCUUGGUCACAGACAAGCUUCUCAUUCAAGGUGUUUUUUUUGUUGUUCAUUUGUUUUAAAAGUAAUUAGAAUUAACUAGAUCAAGAAUUUCAGUGAUAAGAAACGGAUUAGGCCACCAGAUGUGAACUUCCCUACACUUACUUGUAAACUGCUUGUUAACCAGUGUUACCUCAGCUUCCAGCCUGUUUUGCUGAUGUAACUGAGAAAGUUAAGUAUUUUGUGUGUUCCAAGAUCUAAAAUCAUUCUUUGCUCCAAGAAAGGGAACAAUUAUCAAAAUACUUCAUGGAAGUCACAUAAUUCAUGCACCUCUCAAGGAAAUAAAAACCUUCUUUUUCCAAAUGUCAUUUCACCACUUAAUUAAAUAUAGUCAAUUAACAAUUGGAUAUGUACUAUACUUUUGUAGGCUAAUAAAAUGUGGAAUAAGAACUUGUCAUUGUUCCAGUAAUGUGUCCUUCUCAACUUGUAAAAACUGUAUCAUCAUUAACAUGAGCUGUACAAUGCAAACAGCAAAAGAAGAGGGUUUUAAUUCAAAUGCUCCUACAGAAUGGAAUUUCAUUAUCUCUGCCCUACAGCUGGAUGUUAUUUAAACAAGUACUUCCUAUACAUCAAUCUCCAAAAUCAUUAUUCUCUGCAUGUAGAUUUUUUUUUUGAUCCAUGCUCAAGUUUUAAAAAUACUUUAAAAUAUAAAAUUAUCUAUUUAAGUUAUUAUUUCCUUUGCUUGCUGCUACAUCACAGGAAAGAAAAGGCCAAGAAAUGAGGACUGCUCUUGAAGUAACGCCUCCUAUUUUACUAUGUUAGCCCACAACAUCAGAGGUGGACGUUAGUGGUACGGCAGUGGGGGGUCAAACCAUCCCAUCAAUAUUCUGUUCCAUGUUGUUGCCGUGUGACAGACGGCAGCAGAGGGGCACUCUGACAUGGAAAUGUGGAUAAGCAAAGACAAAAGGAAGAAAAAUUAUGACGAAUCAGCACUCUCCGAUGAUAGAUCACCCCUUCAGCAGAGCUGAAUAUGCCAGCGUACGACAUGAUGAAAUACUAAGAAUGCAAAGAAUGGACACAGCAUACGUUCCAGUUAUUACUACAGACAAGGUCUGAAGAAACCUCCCAGUUGUUCAGCUCUCGCUCUUGCAGAAGCGCUGUCUACCCGGUGUUCUCCCCUACAAUUCACAGCAAGUCUGCAACGAGGGAUUUUGAUAACACUCCAGUUUAUCUCUAUAAAUUGAGAUUAAGAAGUAGUGUGACUCACUAUAACAAGCCUCCUAAGACUUCAUUAAUUGCUGAUUAUAUCAAGGUGUUCGCUGCAAAUAUUUUGGCAAUUUGCUGCAUCAGAAUAAUUUCAAUGAGCAUAAAUAUGUAUUAUAAAUAAUAUUUCACGCUGAUUAACAAUUAGGUGGAAUUAAAAUGGUAAAGAAAAAAACCCAUACUCUUCUAGAGAUGGUACACUGAAAAAUGUGAUUACAGUAUUCAGGUUGAUUUUGUGCAAGCAUUUGUAUGAACAUAGUCAUUUUUUCAUUCAUAGUGUUUCUUCUAGUUGUUGCUUUUCUUCGAUUACAAUUUUUGAUGAGUAGUUCUGCUACCGUGUUCCUGUGGCUGGCAAGUAGGGGCAGCUGGAAUAUUUGCCAUUACAAAGAAAUCCCAAAUGAUCAAAAAAAAAAAAA